AAGGGCUUUAGGUGUGGAAAAGAGAAGAGGAGUGAGUGAAGAUUGAAGAAUGAGGGAUGAAGGAUGCUUUGAAAGGUGAAUAGAAUGUGCUAUUUAUUCUUUAGGGGGAGCUUGCUAAAAACAACAUGCACAUCCCUUAGAAAUCUCCCAUGCAUGACCGACCUUGAUUUGUGGGAUGAAGAGAUGGUGGUUACUUUAUUUGUGCUCAAUUUUUUCUUGAUUCAAGGAG
rnacentral:lncRNA from 1 species